AGAUAGUCCUGGCAUUAUGUGAGUGACACUCUGAGCAGGUGAACUAUCAAUCUGAAGUGAAAAUGGUCUGUGGAAACAGGGAGUUUUCUUUUUAGAGCUAUUCAAAAUCACAGAGAGAACAGACCAAAGCUUCAGAAGAACCUUCAGAAGACCCAUGAAGAGCAAUUAAAGGAUGGAAACCUCUUCUCUCAAUAUUUUAACAUGAAGACAACUGACAGACACAGAAACUGACAGACACAGAAGAAAGAUAAGUUUGUUUUAAUGAAACAAAUUGCUUGUUCUGCUUUUAUGGCCAUUUAUUUAUUUUUAAAGCCUGUAAUAGUCAUGUAAUAAAUGAUCUGUUACAAUAUUAUAUGUUAAAAUAAUAUUGUGAGUCCUACUGAUUCUAUCUAGAAAUAAUAAUCAUAUAUACAUUUAUUGCAUAGUUAAACAGUAUGUGUUUAAUUUGUAAAGUGGCAUAAUUAUUAUUUAUCUUCCAAUUUUAUUUGUUAGACAUUUUUUAUUCGUAAUAUUUUUUUAUUUAAUAUUGAUUUUUUUGUCUUUUGAGGACCUUCGUUAGAAGGCUCGUCAUCACAUAUACGUUUAUUAUACUGUUAAACAAUAUGUGUUUAAUUUAUGACAUAAUAAAAGUGCCAUAAUUGUUAUAUAUUUAUAUUACAAUUUUAUUUAUUAGGCGUAUUUUUUUAUUCAUAUUAACGUUUUUAAAUAUUAUUAUUAUUUUUUUGUCUUUUGAGGACCUUAGGAGACACCCUUGUUGUCAUUUAACGGAAAACACAGCUCUUAUGGGUUCAUUAUUGUGUAUCCCCCAUCAAGCCACAGCAGAUCAAAUUAAGACUUCUGAUCAGUGUGUAGAGAACCCUAAAGGAUCGGGUGGAAUGAUAAUAUAUGACUCGGAGACAUUCACCAUGAGCAAACAACACUUGGUUGCAGUUCGUGAUGAUAGAGGGGCAAACUCUGUCAGACCAAUUCUGUUGUAACGGCAGGUGAAGACAAGAGAAAUGCCUCACAAGACUCAUCAUGAAGUGAUGAUGAAGAUGAAUUAAAUAAAGGCAUUUAACC